GACGAACGCUGGCGGCGUGCCUAAUACAUGCAAGUCGAACGCUUCUUUCCUCCCGAGUGCUUGCACUCAAUUGGAAAGAGGAGUGGCGGACGGGUGAGUAACACGUGGGUAACCUACCCAUCAGAGGGGGAUAACACUUGGAAACAGGUGCUAAUACCGCAUAACAGUUUAUGCCGCAUGGCAUAAGAGUGAAAGGCGCUUUCGGGUGUCGCUGAUGGAUGGACCCGCGGUGCAUUAGCUAGUUGGUGAGGUAACGGCUCACCAAGGCCACGAUGCAUAGCCGACCUGAGAGGGUGAUCGGCCACACUGGGACUGAGACACGGCCCAGACUCCUACGGGAGGCAGCAGUAGGGAAUCUUCGGCAAUGGACGAGAGUCUGACCGAGCAACGCCGCGUGAGUGAAGAAGGUUUUCGGAUCGUAAAACUCUGUUGUUAGAGAAGAACAAGGACGUUAGUAACUGAACGUCCCCUGACGGUAUCUAACCAGAAAGCCACGGCUAACUACGUG
rnacentral:rRNA from 1 species